CCUACGGGUGGCAGCAGUAGGGAAUAUUGCUCAAUGGGGGAAACCCUGAAGCAGCAACGCCGCGUGGAGGAUGAAGGUUUUCGGAUUGUAAACUCCUUUUGUUAGAGAAGAUCAUGACUGUAUCUAACUACUAAGCACCGGCUAACUCCGUGCCAGGAGCCGCGGUAAUACGGAGGGGCCCAGCUCUCCUCGGAACCACUGGGCGUAAAGAUCUCGUAGGCGGGAUAGCAAGUCAGAUGUGAAAUACUAUGGCUCAACCAUAGAACUGCAUUUGAUACUGUUAUACUAGAGUAUGGGAGAGGUAGGUGGAAUUCUUGGUGUAGGGGUAAAAUCCGUAGAGAUCAAGAGGAAUACUCAUUGCGAAGGCGACCUGCUAGAACAUAACUGACGCUGAUGCGCGAAAGCGUGGGGAGCAAACAGGAUUAGAUACCCGGGUAGUC
rnacentral:rRNA from 1 species